rnacentral:rRNA from 1 species
UGGGGAAUUUUGCGCAAUGGGGGAAACCCUGACGCAGCAACGCCGCGUGGAGGAUGAAGUCCUUCGGGACGUAAACUCCUUUCGAUCGGGACGAUUAUGACGGUACCGGAAGAAGAAGCCCCGGCUAACUUCGUGCCAGCAGCCGCGGUAAUACGAGGGGGGCGAGCGUUGUUCGGAAUUAUUGGGCGUAAAGGGUGCGUAGGCGGUUUUGUAAGUCUUAUGUGAAAUCUAUGGGCUCAACUCAUAGACUGCAUGAGAAACUGCAGGGCUUGAGUGUGGGAGAGGUGAGUGGAAUUCCUGGUGUAGCGGUGAAAUGCGUAGAUAUCAGGAGGAACACCUGUGGCGAAAGCGGCUCACUGGACCACAACUGACGCUGAUGCACGAAAGCUAGGGGAGCAAACAGGAUUAGAUACCCCCGUAGUCC